rnacentral:lncRNA from 10 species
UUUCAUCACAUUUUGUCUCAACAUUCAGGUAUGAUUUGCAGAUGACUGAUAACAACCAUCAUGUUGUGGAAAAGAACACAUCUCUCAGAAAGUUACACAUGCGCAUCAAGUUUUUGUUUGCCCACUAAGCCCAGCUAUGACCAUGCUGACUCCUUCGCAGCAAGCAUGACCUCCUCACAGGAAGAAAGGCAUACUCAUCUAUAAGAAAAAUGAAAAUGUGUGUCUGGAGGAGGGAUGGCCAAUAUAUAUCUGCAAAGAGAUGACAACUUGAAGCAUUUCUCCUGAAUAAUAUAGAACAUAGACACAAGGGACAUACUUUUCAGAUUAUUCGGCAUACAAAAACUGAGCUCAUUUAUUCACAGAAUUAUCAAAUGCAUAUUGAUUGGCUUAUAGUUGUAUUCCUAAUGGUUUCCACCUAAAACAUCCAAAUUUCCUUGUAAAGAUAUUACAGUGAAUAUUAGAAAAUAGCUGAGGAUAUGUGUAUGGAAAGUAGAGUUACAAGGAGAGAAGCCAAUGGGCAGUUUUCGUCUGUCAUCCCUGGCCACAGUCUGUUCUGAUGGGUAGGUUUCUUGAUAUGAUAUCCAGAAACUGAGAGAAGAAGCUGAAUUCGGUUAAACACGGAAUUAUUCUCUCACUGUCCUGCAAACACAGCUUGUACAUUUUCACACAGCUGCCUCCCCUUCCCCUACUCUGAUUGUAAUAAAU